rnacentral:rRNA from 1 species
UACAGAGGUCUCGAGCGUUAGGCGGAAUCACUGGGCUUAAAGCGUGUGUAGGUGGAUGCCUAAGUACCUUGUGAAAUCCCACAGCUUAACUGUGGAACUGCUUGGUAUACUGGGUGUCUUGAGUCACUCAGGGGCGAGCGGAACAAAUGGUGGAGCGGUGAAGUGCGUAGAUAUCAUUUGGAACGCCAAUGGUGAAAACAGCUCGCUGGGGGUGUACUGACACUGAGACACGAAAGCGUGGGGAUCAAACAGG